GGCCCAGUAGCGGAUGGCCCGCGCCUGCAUCAUAUGCAUAUGUAAGAGUGCUGGCAUUAUGCAGGAGUCGCUCGUUCGAAUCGAGCCUGGGCCA